rnacentral:rRNA from 1 species
UCGUAAAACUCUGUUAUUAGGGAAGAACAUAUGUGUAAGUAACUGUGCACAUCUUGACGGUACCUAAUCAGAAAGCCACGGCUAACUACGUGCCAGCAGCCGCGGUAAUACGUAGGUGGCAAGCGUUAUCCGGAAUUAUUGGGCGUAAAGCGCGCGUAGGCGGUUUUUUAAGUCUGAUGUGAAAGCCCACGGCUCAACCGUGGAGGGUCAUUGGAAACUGGAAAACUUGAGUGCAGAAGAGGAAAGUGGAAUUCCAUGUGUAGCGGUGAAAUGCGCAGAGAUAUGGAGGAACACCAGUGGCGAAGGCGACUUUCUGGUCUGUAACUGACGCUGAUGUGCGAAAGCGUGGGGAUCAAACAGGAUUAGAUACCCUGGUAGUCCACGCCGUAAACGAUG